rnacentral:rRNA from 1 species
GGAAAGGCGCGCGAUACAGGGUGACAGCCCCGUACACAAAAAUGCACAUGCUGUGAGCUCGAUGAGUAGGGCGGGACACGUGGUAUCCUGUCUGAAUAUGGGGGGACCAUCCUCCAAGGCUAAAUACUCCUGACUGACCGAUAGUGAACCAGUACCGUGAGGGAAAGGCGAAAAGAACCCCGGCGAGGGGAGUGAAAAAGAACCUGAAACCGUGUACGUACAAGCAGUGGGAGCACGCUUAGGCGUGUGACUGCGUACCUUUUGUAUAAUGGGUCAGCGACUUAUAUUCUGUAGCAAGGUUAACCGAAUAGGGGAGCCGAAGGGAAACCGAGUCUUAACUGGGCGUUAAGUUGCAGGGUAUAGACCCGAAACCCGGUGAUCUAGCCAUGGGCAGGUUGAAGGUUGGGUAACACUAACUGGAGGACCGAACCGACUAAUGUUGAAAAAUUAGCGGAUGACUUGUGGCUGGGGGUGAAAGGCCAAUCAAACCGGGAGAUAGCUGGUUCUCCCCGAAAGCUAUUUAGGUAGCGCCUCGUGAAUUCAUCUCCGGGGGUAGAGCACUGUUUCGGCAAGGGGGUCAUCCCGACUUACCAACCCGAUGCAAACUGCGAAUACCGGAGAAUGUUAUCACGGGAGACACACGGCGGGUGCUAACGUCCGUCGUGA